rnacentral:rRNA from 1 species
GCCUAUGGCCAUACCAUCCUGACCACAACCAGUCUGGUUUCAUCCAGGAAGCUAAGCAGGGUUGGGCCUGGUGAGCACUUGGAUGGGAGAAUAACACUAAAAUGUAUUGAGUUUAUAUGUUCUAGGUA